UACGUAGGUGGCAAGCGUUGUCCGGAUUUACUGGGCGUAAAGAGCGCGCAGGCGGUCGUUCAAGUCGCGUGUGAAAGCCCACGGCUCAACCGUGGAGGGUCAUUGGAAACUGGGGAACUUGAGUGCAGAAGAGAAAAGCGGAAUUCCACGUGUAGCGGUGAAAUGCGUAGAGAUGUGGAGGAACACCAGUGGCGAAGGCGGCUUUUUGGUCUGUAACUGACGCUGAGGCGCGAAAGCGUGGGGAGCAAACAGG
rnacentral:rRNA from 1 species